GAUGAAGAACGUAACGAAAUGCGAUAAGUAAUGCGAAUUGCAGAAUCCGUGAGUCAUCGAAUCUUUGAACGCACAUUGCGCCCGCUGGUAUUCCGGCGGGCAUGCCUGUUCGAGCGUCAUUUCAACCCUCAAGCCCCCGGGUUUGGUGUUGGGGAUCGGCUCUGCCCUUCUGGGCGGUGCCGCCCCCGAAAUACAUUGGCGGUCUCGCUGCAGCCUCCAUUGCGUAGUAGCUAACACCUCGCAACUGGAACGCGGCGCGGCCAUGCCGUAAAACCCCAACUUCUGAAUGUUGACCUCGGAUCAGGUAGGAAUGCCCGCUGAACUUAAGCAUAUCAAUAAGCGGAGGA
rnacentral:misc_RNA from 1 species